AUGCCUUAAAUUUAUGAGUAAGGAAAAUAAUGAUUCAGGGUGAUGCCAGAAUCCUCACUGCUAAUGUGAGAUGAAAUUUUGAGAGAGUAAAUAUUGUCCCUAGGGUCACCUCUCUACUUUGCAUGAUGCCUAAGUAAAGUGAUUUGUCCA